rnacentral:rRNA from 1 species
UACGUAGGGUGCAAGCGUUGUCCGGAAUUAUUGGGCGUAAAGAGCUCGUAGGCGGUUUGUCGCGUCUGCUGUGAAGACCCGAGGCUCAACCUCGGGCCUGCAGUGGGUACGGGCAGACUAGAGUGCGGUAGGGGAGAUUGGAAUUCCUGGUGUAGCGGUGAAAUGCGCAGAUAUCAGGAGGAACACCGGUGGCGAAGGCGGGUCUCUGGGCAUCUACUGACGCUGAGGAGCGAAAAGCAUGGGGAGCGAACAGG